AGAACGAACGCUGGCGGCAUGCCUAAUACAUGCAAGUCGAACGAACACUUCGGUGUUAGUGGCGCACGGGUGCGUAACGCGUGGGAAUCUGCCCUUGGGUUCGGAAUAACAGUUGGAAACGACUGCUAAUACCGGAUGAUGACGAAAGUCCAAAGAUUUAUCGCCCAGGGAUGAGCCCGCGUAGGAUUAGCUAGUUGGUGAGGUAAAGGCUCACCAAGGCGACGAUCCUUAGCUGGUCUGAGAGGAUGAUCAGCCACACUGGGACUGAGACACGGCCCAGACUCCUACGGGAGCAGCAGUAGGGAAUUUGGACAAUGGGCGCAAGCCUGAUCCAGCAAUGCGCGUGCAGGAGAAGGCUCGGUUGUAACUGCUUUGUACGGAACGAACGGUCCUGGUUAAUACCUGGGCUAAGUGACGGUACCGUAAGAAUAAGUACACCGGCUAACUACGUGCCAGCACGCCGC
rnacentral:rRNA from 1 species